UACGUAGGAUCCAAGCGUUGUCCGGAUUUACUGGGUGUAAAGGGUGCGUAGGCGGACUGGUUAGUCUGGGGUGAAAUCUCAUCGCUUAACGGUGAAACUGCCUUAGAUACUGCCAGUCUUGAAUCAGCGAGAGGUUCGUGGAAUUCCGAGUGUAGCAGUGAAAUGCGUAGAUAUCGGAAGGAACAUCAGUGGCGACAGCGACUUCCUGGACCAAUACUGACGCUCAUGUGCGAAAGCGUGGGGAGCAAACAGG
rnacentral:rRNA from 1 species